ACCCGCUGAACUUAAGCAUAUCAAUAAGCGGAGGAAAAGAAACUAACAAGGAUUCCCCUAGUAACUGCGAGUGAAGCGGGAAAAGCUCAAAUUUGAAAUCUGGCGGUCCUUGCGGCUGUCCGAGUUGUAAUUUAGAGAAGUGUUACCCGUGCUGGACCGUAUACAAGUCCUCUGGAAUGGGGCGUCAUAGAGGGUGAGAAUCCCGUCUUUGAUACGGACUACCAGUGCUUUGCGGUGCGCUCUCGAAGAGUCGAGUUGUUUGGGAAUGCAGCUCAAAAUGGGUGGUAAAUUCCAUCUAAAGCUAAAUACAGGCGAGAGACCGAUAGCGAACAAGUACCGUGAGGGAAAGAUGAAAAGAACUUUGGAAAGAGAGUUAAACAGUACGUGAAAUUGCUGAAAGGGAAACGCUUGAAGUCAGUCGCGUUGGCUCGGAAUCAACCAUGCUCUUGCUUGGUGUACUUCCUUGUCGAUGGGUCAGCAUCAGUUUCGAUCGCUGGAUAAAGGUCAUUGGAAUGUGGCACCCUCGGGUGUGUUAUAGCCUUUGAUCGUAUACAGUGGUUGGGACUAAGGAACUCAGCACGCCGCAAGGCCGGGUUUUUAACCACGUAACGUGCUUAGGAUGCUGGCAUAAUGGCUUUAAUCGACCCGUCUUGAAACACGG
rnacentral:rRNA from 1 species